AUUGAACGCUGGCGGAAUGCUUUACACAUGCAAGUCGAACGGCAGCACGGGGGCAACCCUGGUGGCGAGUGGCGAACGGGUGAGUAAUACAUCGGAACGUGCCCAGUCGUGGGGGAUAACGUAGCGAAAGUUACGCUAAUACCGCAUACGAUCUACGGAUGAAAGCGGGGGACCGUAAGGCCUCGCGCGAUUGGAGCGGCCGAUGUCAGAUUAGGUAGUUGGUGAGGUAAAGGCUCACCAAGCCGACGAUCUGUAGCUGGUCUGAGAGGACGACCAGCCACAAUGGGACUGAGACACGGCCCAGAAUCCUACGGGAGGCAGCAGUGGGGAAUUUUGGACAAUGGGCGCAAGCCUGGUCCAGCCAUUCCGCGUGCAGGACGAAGGCCUUCGGGUUGUAAACUGCUUUUGUACGGAACGAAAAGGCUCUGGUUAAUACCUGGGGCUCAUGACGGUACCGUAAGAAUAAGCACCGGCUAACUACGUGCCAGCCGCCGCGGUAA
rnacentral:rRNA from 1 species